rnacentral:rRNA from 1 species
AUACGUAUGUCGCAAGCGUUAUCCGGAUUUAUUGGGCGUAAAGCGCGUCUAGGCGGCUUAGUAAGUCUGAUGUGAAAAUGCGGGGCUCAACCCCGUAUUGCGUUGGAAACUGCUAAACUAGAGUACUGGAGAGGUAGGCGGAACUACAAGUGUAGAGGUGAAAUUCGUGGAUAUUUGUAGGAAUGCCGAUGGGAAAGCCAGCCAACGGGAAAGAUACUGUCGCUAAAGCGCAAAAGCGUGGGUAGCAAACAGGAUUAGAUACCCUGGUAGCCCACGCCAUAAACGAUGAUUACUAGGUGUUGGGGGUCGAACCUCAGCGCCCAAGCUAACGCGAUAAGUAAUCCGCCUGGGGAGUACGUACGCAAGUAUGAAACUCAAAGGAAUUGACGGGG